CGGUUUCUCUGGGUGUAGUCCCAUCCCUGGCCCGCAGUCCGCACAAUCGAUAACAACGAAGCUACACGUCUGUAGCAAAACACACUUACACAACACUAUGCAAAGCGAACCACCACUCGAUAACGUCAAACAAUAGGAACUUCUAACUCAUGAACAAAAUAAACAGCUGUAACAACUAUGAACAUGUAAAAAACAAAGAUCGGGGCCCGGUUCCGGACACAGCGUAGCCGCCCAACCAUGAGACGAUCACCUACUCGUCUCCAACGUUCUGCCAUUAGAUGGCCAUCAGCCUGUGCCGGCUGUUAUGCCAACUCUCUCCAACAAAGAAAACUACCCGGACAUUUCUCUCUUCAGAUACGGUUAUCUUCAAGCUGUUAUUUAUAAUUUCGUACUCGCUAACGUUUCCGGCACUUUAAGCCAGGUGCAUACGAAAAGCUG